CGGCACACGAACGGGCAAGUCGUAAUACGCAGCAAAUAGCAACCCGCGAAAGGGGCCAAGAUUCCCUCCAGGCAAUCAAUCAACAGUGGCAAAGAUUUACCUCACCAACUGAGUAUGCCCGGCGUGAAGGAUAUGGGCGUUGAGUGGCCCACACAGGAGUUCGGCUGGUGAAAGGAAGUUACUUAUGCGGCUUACGAGAAGGGAGGACCGCACAGGGCUUGUUGUCUAGCUCAGAGAACUUUACAAUGUUCCAAUCAUGAGCCGUAAAGCGACUUUUCCAAGCUCGCUGCCGGCCAUAAAUACCGAAGUCACGAUGUCGAUC
rnacentral:lncRNA from 1 species